ACGCACACGAUAGAAUUCACGAUAAUGAUACAAACAGCGAUGAAAAACAGAGCUACCGUCUUCCAGGCUCUGCUUGUGUGGUCUAUGGGUUCUGUAGUUGGUAGAAUUCGCUCGGUUGGCGCUGAUGUAACGUUGUCAAAGGAUUGUGAAGCAGUGAUCUGGUGAUCGCACAAAAAGACUUCAUGUACUAUACUAUUCGAGAAGCCUUGAAAGGCUUUCAAAUUCUUUGUUCUUCCACGAAUUUCUUUGGAUUUCAGGAGCCACUACAAGUGGAAUAGUUUAGCUAUUCCGGAAGCCACAGUCUUGAUAGCCUUGCGGCGGGGUUAUAUUUAACUUUUUGCUGAGUGUUCUAAGCGUGUGUUUCCAUUAGUCUGUCAUUGAACACCGGUCACCGUCACGAAAUGGUCCACGACUCCUCAAGGAACAAAGUUAAUCGCAAACGGAUUUUUAGUAUAACUUUCAGCUUGUACAUCCUUAUAAACUAAACCACAAUGAUCUUAUGCAAGAUAAUUUUUUUCCCAAACGUGCUAUGUUCCGUGUUUUUUAUUCCUCAAAAACAAUAAAUGUUUUUGUCCCCUUU